GUGUAACUGACCACCUUUCCUAUUCCCAAUAGGAUAUACAAAUAUAUGGAAACAAACCUGGACCUAGCAGCCUCCUGAAAUCUUCUGAAACAUAAAGUAGUCAAGUACCCUUCUGAUUCUUAUAAGAACUCCUAAAUCAGCAAGAAGAGCUGACUGAUAGACCUAUAAUAGACUGACUGGGUCCUGUUUGGUCGACAUCAGGACUCUUCAGAAUUGGAAACCAGGAACUGUUUUUUAGCCCCAUUGAAAGGAGUGGCUAGCCACUUAAUAAUAGCCCAAAUAUGAGGCUGGGUGGUACCUGAAAAGAAAAUAAGUAUAUAUUGGGAGGCUAAUUGCAGCCCAUGUUGAUGCCCAAAGAUCCAUGUAAAUAUCCCUAAAAUGUUGAAGGGUAAAUUACAGCAACACCUCGAAAGCUCUAAUUUUUUCAAUUAGACACCCAAGCAUACAUUUUUGUUGCAAUGUGGCCCAACUGUCCAGUAGAUGUCUAAUGCUGUUACUGAUGACCGUCAAAUUAGUAUUUUAUCCUCUCAUUUUAAACUUGGAAAAAAACUGUCUGAAAAUUAUAAAGACAUCUCUUCAACUUUUUGCAAUUUGCAUGUGCACCCCAAAACUUCCUAAAAGUUAUACUUCAUCCCUUCCCGAAUUGCUAUAUCUACAACUGCUUAUGAGGUGAAACUCUUCAUAUUUACCAUCUCAUUCCACUUCUCAACGCUUCAUUUCAGUGCCCUGUGACCAUAUAUUUAAGAGAUUUGCGAGAGAUCUUGCUUGGAAAAAUCAGUUAAAUUUAUUUUCUUGCUUGGAAAAAAUAUGCCUAACAUUAAAGAUGCCUUGGUUCAUAUAUGGAUCACCCUUAGAACUGGUGGCCGGGAUUUGCCGUAGUUCAUGAGGUCUUUAAUGGAGCCUUCAGCCCACAUUUGUAGAAUAUGGGAAGGAGCUGAUGGGAGCUCUAACUAGAGCUUUGGGUAGAGUUCAUACUUGGAGCCAUGGAAAUUUCAGGUUCCUCUCCUCCGUAUGCUCUCUCCUCCUCUCUUCUCCCUUCCCUCUAUCAGUAGUCUCUUUUUCCUUCAUUCUCUCCUCUUCUCUCUAUUAAUUAGAUUGGGAAGCGCUUGUUCAGUAAGAAAGAAAGAGGAAUGGAAGGGGUCGAUCUCCUUCUGUUCCUGCCAAAACAAGGGUAUUGUUGGUAUUUCCUGCCAACAAGGGUGUUGUUGAUAUUUCCUAUCUAAAGUUAUCUCACGUGACUAUUAUGUGUUCAUAGAUCAUGACGGAGCUAGAUGGUUGGACCACAUUGCAACAAAAACCUAAGUUUUGGGGUCUAAUUGAAAAAAUUGGAGCUUUUGGGAUGCGAGUGUAAAUUGUGAAACAUUGAAGGGGUGUUGUUGUAAUUUACCCAAAAUUGAAAAUAAGAUUCAUUGAAAAAAAAAAUAAGGUAAAUUUAAGGCCCAAGAAAGGAGCCAAUUGAAUUGAUUGCCUGACCUCCUUGCUGGCAUGGUCCAGCCAAAGGAUAUCUUUUAGCUGGUCCCCUCCUGCCAAAAAGCUGCAGUAUUUAAUCUUCACGAGACUUAUAACUAACCAAUUAGAGGCUGGUAACAUGCAUAAAUUUGUCGCAGCUGUUAUGUUUUUCUUGGUAACUUUAGUUAUUGAAAAUCAAUGAGAUAUUUUGGAAUAUGGUAUUUUGAAAGGCUGAUAUUUUGCCUUAAUGGUCAGAAUGAACAUUAGGCAAGACAAUAAGGAUAAAAACUUUGAGUUUGUUGUUAGGACAGUAACUCUUAUAGUAGUUGUUGUUUGGUAUGUCUUACCCAGCUAUGAGUAUCAAUACUUGGACUAAAUAUGUGUGUGUGUGAGAGAGAGAGAGAGAGAGGGGGAGAGAGAUGUUCCUUUUCCAUAGUUUUCUUAUAAGUUAUAGGGAAGUUGAAAGUCUACUUAAGCAUUAAAUACGGUUUCAAUGUGGUGGGAAUUGUUGUCUAUGGAAAUUGUUCAAUCAUUUUGCAUGUGUUUGCUUUGAGAUAGGAAUGGGCAUAGAAUGAAUUGACACAUCCACGACUUGAUUUUUUGUAUGACAAUUUCUUUCAAAAUAAUCAUAAGAUAAUGCUAUUUACUUGGGGAAAACUUUCAACUAGGUCCCAUUAGUUGUAAUGCAAUUGAUGGCAUAGGGAUGCCCCCAUGUGAUUGUUCGCUGUCUAUAGUGUAUUUGAGAAUGAAGUCGUUUGUACUAUAAAUAGAGUGGGUGGAUCAUCGAUGGAUUGGCAAGGUUUUUCUGCAUGCCUUUGAGGACUCAUUUGGCGCAUAGGAAGAGGAGGGGGGAAGUGUAGUUAGCAGAAAAAUAAAAAAAAUACCUCAUAUUUGGUUGGAAUUCUCAAAGAGAGAGAUACACAUCUCUUUUGAAAUACACCUUGAGAUUCGAUCCACAAAAAAUCCAGAACGAGAUUUAGGAUGAUAAACGGAGUCCAACGAGCCCAAAAUUAGCCCAAAUGGAGUCCAGACGGUGAAGAUACACGCGAGAGAAGUUUGGAGCAGGUGGCAUGGCCCAUAGGGCGGCGGUGCAGCUAGGCCCGACAGACGUGCAGGCGCACGGCCCAGUGCUGGCGAGCGUGGGAGUGUGUGGUGUGCGGCCCUGGCCCAGGCCCAAACGAGUGCGUGUGCGGGUGUGGCCCAGGCCCAGGCAGGCGUGCGUAGGCGCAGCCCGCGCGACUCCACGUGGUCCACGCGCAGUGCGUGGACCGACGGUCCAUGGGAGGCUUUGUGGAUCGGGCGGACGUUUCCCACUAGUUUCUCGCGAUCCACCGUGGAUCGAAGAUGGUUUUCCAGUGGUUUCUCACGGUUCAUGCGGGCUGUUGUGGAUUAGGGUGCGAUCGGACGGCCUGCAGGGCUUGCGGUCAAGAUCCAAUGGCUCUGAGCCAUUCUAGGUGAUUAGAGGACGUGCAGGGUCAUGAUGGGGCACGAUCCAACAGUCAGUUUUCAAUCCGAGGUGCGAUCGGAUGGCCGAGAAGCUACAGGAGUCCGAUCGAGAGUCUGAUUUCAAUUUGAGCUGGGUUUUAGGGCCUUUAAGAGGCCCUGUGGGCGAACAGAACCGUGAACAUGUAGAGAGCGGUAGAGAGCCAUGAGCGGAGGCAUCACUGCGAGGAAGACUCGAGUAGCCAUUGAAAAGACUCCGAUAGAGCACCGAGUGUGCGCAGUGGGCAGAGCAGGCACUGUAGAGCACCGACAGGAGAUCGGGGGCAGAGCAGAGCGUCAGACAGAGCAGCUGCGAAAAGGCAUGAUGUAGCGAUUCACUCUAUAGGAAGCGUCCAGGGGCGUCGAGGAUCCUCGUACUGGUAGGCUUGUGAGAGGGUCUCCUUGGAGAAUUUGAGAGAGCUUUUAUGAGAAUAGCUUCUAGUUGAGGAUGGUAUACAGAGUUGAGAUUGGGUGUUGUCUUCUUGUAUUUAUUUUUUCUCAUAGUGAAGCUUGCAUGCCCCAUGGAAGUAGCGCUUGGGCUGUUCCACGUAUCUGAUUGUGUCUGUAUUGUUUUUUCUUUCUUCCUGCUGCAACGCAAGUGGUAUUGAAAAGGUCUUGAGAUGGUGGUGUCCUGAUCAGACAUCUCCAACAAUUGGUAUCAGAGUUAGACGGUAUCAGCGCAGGUUGCGGCGGUGGUGAGCAAGAUUAAAGAUGGAGAAGACAUGCACAAUCAAGGUAGAGAUCAAUCGCGGAGGGUUGAUCGAUGCUCUCUGGUGCAAGGGGCCAUCUAUAUGGAGGAUGCCAGUGAGAGCCUAGUGCGAGGUGGAGCUCUAGGUGAUGGAUUCGGCAUUGUACGGGAGACUCGAGAGGAGGAUAAGUGAUGUCACUAGGAGGCUACUACCCCGAGUAGGUCUCAGGUCAGGUGUUGUGAGGUGCGUACAGCAUAUGACGGAGAUGGGAUGGAACGGUCUUGCUCGACUCCCAUAUUUGUCCAUCCAUGAGUAGCAGACGUUUGUCCCAGAGCAUGGGGGCGAGGAGAUUCAGAACUCUCAAAGUCAGAUAGAGAUCGAAUAUCGAGUCGAGAUGGAGAUUGGUAGAAAAUACGUCUCGAGAUUUGUUCCAUAAGAAGUCCAAAGGAGAUUCAGGACGACGAACGGAGUUUAACGAGCCCAAGAUCAGCCCAAACGGAGUCCAGAUGGCAAAGAUAUACGCAAGAGAAGUUUGGAGCAGGUGGCACGGCCCACAGGACGGCGGAGGCCGAUGGCGGUGCAGCCAGGCCUGGUAGACGCACGGGCGUGUGGCCCAGCGCCGGCAAGGUGGGAGCGUGCGGUACACGGCCCAGGCCCAGGCUGGCACGCAUGCAGGUGUGGUCCAGGCCCAAGCGGGCACGCGCAGGCACAGCCCGGGCGACUCCACGUGGUCCAUGUGCGGUGCGUGGACCAAUGGUCCAUGGGAGGCUCUAUGGAUCAAGCGGAUGUUUUCCACUGGUUUCUCACAGUCCAUCGUGGAUUGGAGAUGGUUUCCCAGUGGUUUCUCGCAGCUCAUGCGGCGCUCUCGUGGACCAGUGCACGAUCGGACGGCUUGCAAGGCUUGCGGUCAAGAUCCAAUGGUUGUGAGCCGUUCCAGAUGAUCAGAGGAUGUGCAGGGUCACGAUGGGGCACGAUCUAAUGGCCAGUUUUCGAUCUGAGGUGCAAUCGGAUGGUCGAGAAGCUAUAGGAGUCCAAUCCAGAGUUUGAUUUCGAUCCGAGCUGGGUUUUAGGGCCUUUAAGAGGUCGUGUCGGCGAACAGAAUCAUGAACAUGCAGAGACAGCGGCAGAGAGCCGUGAGCGGAGGCAUCAGUGCGAGGGAGGAUCGAGUAGCCAUCGGAAGGAGUCCGGUAGAGUGCUGAGUGUGCGCAGCGGGCAGAGCAGACACUGCAGAGCACCGAUAGGAGAUCAGGGGCAGACUAGAGCAUCAGACAGAGAGCUGUGGAGAGGCACGAUGUAGCGGUUCGCUCCAUAGGAAGUGUCCAGGGGCGUUGAGGAUCUUGGUACUGGCAGGCUUGUGAGGUUUUUUUUGGAGGAUUUGAGAGAGCUUUUGUGAGGAUAGCUUCUAGUUGAGAGAGGGUGGUAUACAGAGAGUUGAGAGUGGAUGUUCUCCUCUUGUAUUUAUUUUUUUCUCAUAGUGAAGCUUGCAUGCCCCGUGGAGGCAGCGCUUGGGCUAUUCCACGUACCUGAUUGUGUUUGUAUUGUUUUCUUCUUUCUUCCUGUUGCGACGCGAGUGGUAUCGAAAAGGUCUUGAGGUGGUGGUGUCCUGACUAGACAUCCCCAACAAUGGGAAGGUAUCUUUCCAAUGGGAAUAAGUUUUCUAUAUUUCAUAGGAAAGAAAAACCCAUGUGGGAUGUGGGAAAGCCACUUUCCAACGGGAUGGGAAUUAUGGUAAUCUUUUUCGAAAAGUGCCCUUAAGCCAUCAUUAUGUUCUUAAUUGCUAUUUUUGAUAGUUAAUCUUACACUAUUAAAAAUUACAACAAUAUAAAGGACUUGUAGUAAUUUUGAUAUAAAAAUAUAUGAGGAACUAUUUGAAAUUAUCACAAUAUAAAGAAGUUAUCUGACUAUUAACUAAAAACUCAACCCAAUAGAUAUUUUUAAUAGCUAUUUUUAAAUAUUUUUGGAUUUAAAAAUAUUUAAACAUAGCUAUUAAAAAUAUAUUAUGAAUUGUGCUAAUUUUAAUAGUUAGACAAGUAUCCAAAUAUGUUAUGAAUUGUGGUAAGUUUAAUAGUUAAAAUAGCUGUUAAAAAUAUAUUCUGAUCUCUUUGGUGUUGAACUUUCAAAACCUUUAGACCUUGGUAUUUCAAGUAUUUGAUUACAAAACUUAUGCAUGUGAUAUAUUUUUUUUGUAGUCCCCUUAUUAAGGGCAUAUAAGGUAUUUUACACAAUUUUCCUGAGAAAGUAGAUGUUCAACCAAAUAUAAGUUACUCUUGAAGGUGCGUCUCCUAUGCCACUUUCCUAUGGUCUACCAAAUAUGCAAAAACUACUUUCUCAGGUGUCAUUUGCUCAGGCAUCUUCUUAAGAAAAACAUAAUAUUGAGGUAAAAUUUUUGCCACGAACCAAGCGAAUCCUGAAUGUUAAGACAAAAAUUGUCAGACAUGAUCAUUGUUGGUUCAUAAGGUUGGACAAUAAAGAAUGUGUAAACAUAGUAGACUUUUGUUGCAAUGGAAAAGAAAGGAAGGGGAGGAAAUUGAGAUGAUAUGGGUUUCUGCAAUAAAGAAUGAUGCAAUAUCUUAUAAAUAGAGUGUUUUGGUUUGUGUAAGUCCUAGAGAGUUGAGGAAAAAUGAGAUGAGGACCUAUACGAAGAUCUGGAUUAAUAUUGUCACUUGUGAGAGGAGUGCAUUGACGAGCUGGUGUUUAUUGAUGACCAAUGCUAUAGCCUUGGUAGGAACAAAUAAAGAUGAAGGGUUAACAUAUGAUGCAAUAUAGAUGGGAUGACUUGUUGAUUGUUAUGAAAGCUACAGCGACAGCUACAGCUACCUCAGUGUACAUAUAUUUAUGAGAUAAUUCUAUCUAGAGCUGUGGUAGGUGAACAGAAAUACUUCUUUUAAUUGUAAAGGAAACUAAUACAUCUAAUUUAGGGGGUGCAGGAAUUAAUUGAAAUAUCUAACAUGGUUUCAUGUUUAGUAGAUAUUGUCAUAAUGCCUGUUGAGAUUUCAGGUCAGCAGCAAUGCCUUUUCUUAUUGUUCAGUGACCUGAUACUGUAUUUUUCUUUCUUAAACAGAUAGAUGAUAAGCUUUAUAUAUACCUGGAAUAUGUCUCUGGUGGUUCCAUCCAUAAACUUCUUCAAGAGUAUGGGAAAUUAGGUGAACCAGCAAUUCGUAGCUAUACUCAACAAAUACUUUCAGGCCUGGCAUAUUUGCAUGCUAAGAAUACUGUCCAUAGGUAUAAUUCAAUAUCAGAAUUCAUUUUACUGAAAUUUCCCUCUGGGUGUCUGAUACUCCUGCUCCUAGAUUAUUAUUUCUGAUUCUAAUUAAUUUUUUCCUGCCUGUGCAGAGACAUCAAAGGUGCAAAUAUUCUUGUAGACCCAAAUGGUCGUGUUAAGCUGGCAGAUUUUGGGAUGGCAAAGCAUGUAUAAUUUUAUAUUUCCUAUUAUAGCCUUUCAUAAUUUUGGGAAUAUGCAUUUGCCUAAUUCUUGUGCUGCUGCACUUAACAUUAAAUUUGAUGAUUUUAUAGUUUAUCUUCUCUGAUGCUCAGGUGCUUAUGUUCAUAUCAUUUGUCAAAGUUUUUGCUAUUUCCCACUCUUUAGAGAUCCAGCUUUUUAUCAGCAUCCAGAGGUGGUCUUAUAUCUGUUGCUAACUUUAGGCAUGAAUAUAUUUGCUAUAAUGUAUGAUGCUUGAGCUGUAAGUGCUUUAGAGACAGGACAGAAAAAGUGUCCUAUGAAAUGAGUGUGUUCUCAUCAUAUCUCACUGUCUUAUAGAGAGGCUGAAGAUGAAAUCGUAAAGGGAAAGGAGAGGCAUGACUUCCUGAUGAUUCAUGGAGUCGACUGGUUGAUUAUUAGUGGAUAAGCUUUUUUCCCUUUUUUUCUAAGAAACACAGCGAGAAUGCCACCAUGUUGGUUUGAACUCGGGACCUCUCCCCAACAAAAGAGUGUUGCCAGCCAGCUGAUCCAAGUGUCUGCUGGCAUGAGAGGAAUAUGUGUUUCAACCAAAGUAGAGAUUAAAAAUGUCAUGCUAACAGAAAAAUAAAGUUAACAGGUUGAAGGAGAAACUUUCAACUAACUACUAACUGAGAUUAAAAAUAACAAAUGGAAAGAAGAAACUCUCUAGGAUGUCAUGGUUUUCUUCUUUUAUGCCUUAUUUCUGUUAUUAUCAGUGUAUAUUGCGUUCCAUAUUGGGCCCGAAUCGAGAUAAAGAGAGGGCGGAGGAGAACGAGAGAGGAUGAGGGAGAGAGGGCCUCCGAAGGGCAGCUGAGCUUGCACAUGGUGGAAACUAGAGGAGGGCAGAGGGAGGGAAGGAGAGGGAGAGGGAGAGGAGGCUGUCGGAGGCCUCUGGAGGGCUGGUGAUGCCGCUUUGCUACUAUUGAGGUUGGAGGAGGGGCUCCCACCCUUCUCCAGAUCAAAACAUGGGCUUUGGCCCUGGUUUCCUCUUUUUUUUUUUUUGCACCAUUUAUCGGGUGGAGUCGGCAACAUCAUUGCAGAAACAAAGUUGCAGACUUCAUUGGUUUUUCUAUUUUUUUUGAGAUUUUCGAUUGAAGUUGGCAACCUGAUAAAUCUCAACUGAAAAUCCGAAAAUCUUAAAAAAAAUAGAAAAAUCAGUGAAGUUGGCAAAUGUGUUGCCAAUGUUAUCCGAUAAAUAGCAAAAAAAUAGAGGGAAAUAGGGGUGGAAGUACUUGUUUCAAUCGGAAGGAGAGCGGAGCCCCUCCUUCGGCUUCCAUUGGCCUUGGCAGCGGCGAGGCGGCCUCGCCUGCUGCCCUCAGGCAGCCUCUUCUCCCUCUCCUUCCCUUUGUUUGUCCUCCAGUUUCCACCAUGUGCAGCAAGCUCAACUAUCCUCUAGCGGCUUCCAGAGGCUUUCUCUCCCUCUCCCUCUACUUCAUUGUGCCCCCCUCUCUUUCCUUCUCCUUCUCCCCCUCCUCACUGGUGUCUCGUUUUGAAUGUUGGAACUGUCCCGGUCGGCCAUUGGUAUUGUUCGUCAUGCCUUGAAUCGGAUGGAUUAGGGCGUUUCAGCAAACCAUGUUACAUGUGCAACUUGACACUUAAACCCAUCUUCAUCAACUUUCACUUCUUAAUUUCAUAACUUUUUAAUGUUCAAUUUUAGUUCUCAAUUUUCUAUAAAUAUUGUGGAAUCUACAUUUCAAAUUUAUCUUAAUGCUCCCAUGAUCAAGGAUUUAAGUGCCAUUGUCACUUGGCAUGUAGUGCCACUACCGACAUACUUGAUGUGCUCGUAUGAAAUGAAAAAGAAAAUUACUUAAGAACCUUUUUGUCUUGGUGCUGGGUGGUACCCAACCAUGUCAAUCUGGGAGGAAUUGACAUGGUUCUAUAUGGGUCAGCACCACCCAUAAAAAGCUGUUUGCUUGGUAUGUUGUAGCAAGUGCUGAUACUGGCAUAGCACAUGCAGGAACUUGAAACCAUGGCCA
rnacentral:lncRNA from 1 species